UCUUAUUAAGAGUAGGCGGAGGGAAUUGGCCCGAUGAAACCUCAGCAACAGGCGUAAGUACUGUGCUAAAUCCAACAAGUAUCAACUUGAAAGAUAAGA
rnacentral:ncRNA from 1 species